rnacentral:rRNA from 1 species
UACGUAGGGGGCAAGCGUUGUCCGGAAUCAUUGGGCGUAAAGCGCGUGUAGGCGGUCCGGUAAGUCCGCUGUGAAGGUCGGGGGCUCAACCCUCGGAUGCCGGUGGAUACUGUCGGGCUUGAGUACGGAAGAGGCGAGUGGAAUUCCUGGUGUAGCGGUGAAAUGCGCAGAUAUCAGGAGGAACACCAAUUGCGAAGGCAGCUCGCUGGGACGUUACUGACGCUGAGACGCGAAAGCGUGGGGAGCAAACAGG